rnacentral:rRNA from 1 species
AUGCCAAAUAAACCAAAUUUGCUGGGCCGACGCGAGUUCGAGGAGUGCUCUCUGCAAAUGCCGCGGAAGGAGCGUACCAACGUGCAGGUGACUCAGUGUUCCUGUUUCUGCCGCACAAGGAGAAGAUCAAAGGAGGCGUGGCUAUGUUUGAAAGAGCUUGUUGAGCAUGCUGAGUUUGAAGGAGUUCGGCUGGGGUCCACCAGCAGGCGUGACAAUAUUGGCGCGCAAAGUGUCUUUUUUAAUUUCCGGUUGUGUUGUUUUUAUUUUUCUGUUCAGGAAAAGUGGGUCCGAGUUGUUUAG